rnacentral:rRNA from 1 species
GAUGAACGCUGGCGGCGUGCCUAAUACAUGCAAGUCGAGCGAAUGGAUUGAGAGCUUGCUCUUAUGAAGUUAGCGGCGGACGGGUGAGUAACACGUGGGUAACCUGCCCAUAAGACUGGGAUAACUCCGGGAAACCGGGGCUAAUACCGGAUAACAUUUUGAGCCGCAUGGUUCGAAAUUGAAAGGCGGCUUCGGCUGUCACUUAUGGAUGGACCCGCGUCGCAUUAGCUAGUCGGUGAGGUAACGGCUCACCAAGGCAACGAUGCGUAGCCGACCUGAGAGGGUGAUCGGCCACACUGGGACUGGAACACGGCCCAGACGCCUACGGGGGGCAGCAGGAGGGAAUCUUCCGCAAUGGACGAAAGUCUGACGGAGCAACGCCGCGUGAGUGAUGAAGGCUUUCGGGUCGUAAAACUCUGUUGUUAGGGAAGAACAAGUGCUAGUUGAAUAAGCUGGCACCUUGACGGUACCUAACCAGAAAGCCACGGCUAACUACGUGCCAGCCGCCGCAGUAA